rnacentral:rRNA from 1 species
GCUCCAAUAGCGUAUAUUAAAGUUGUUGCAGUUAAAACGCUCGUAGUCUGAGAAGUGGUGCGGGGGGUGCUGUUGGCGCGAGCUGGCGGUGGUCUUUGUGCUGUUUGGGUGUGGCGUGAGCUGCACGGGUUACUUUGAGGAAAUUAGGGUGUUCAAAGCAGGCGUUUGCUUGGAUACUGCAGCAUGGAAUAACGGAAUAG